rnacentral:rRNA from 1 species
GAAUUCGCCCUUAUAGUUUGAUCCUGGCUCAAGAUGAACGCUGGCGGCGUGCUUAACACAUGCAAGUCGAACGAAGAUGCCGGAGUGCUUGCACUUUGGCAGACUGAGUGGCGGACGGGUGAGUAACGCGUGGGUAACCUGCCUUAUACAGGGGGAUAACAGUUGGAAACGACUGCUAAUACCGCAUAAGCGCACGGUAUCGCAUGAUACAGUGUGAAAAACUCCGGUGGUAUAAGAUGGACCCGCGUCUGAUUAGCUUGUUGGUGAGGUAACGGCCCACCAAGGCGACGAUCAGUAGCCGGCCUGAGAGGGUGAACGGCCACAUUGGGACUGAGACACGGCCCAAACUCCUACGGGAGGCAGCAGUGGGGAAUAUUGCACAAUGGGGGAAACCCUGAUGCAGCGACGCCGCGUGAGUGAUGAAGUAUUUCGGUAUGUAAAACUCUAUCAGCAGGGAAGAUAAUGACGGUACCUGACUAAGAAGCACCGGCUAAAUACGUGCCAGCAGCCGCGGUAAUACGUAUGGUGCAAGCGUUAUCCGGAUUUACUGGGUGUAAAGGGUGCGUAGGUAGUAUGGCAAGUCAGAAGUGAAAGGCUGGGGCUCAACCCCGGGACUGCUUUUGAAACUGUCAAACUAGAGUACAGGAGAGGAAAGCGGAAUUCCUAGUGUAGCGGUGAAAUGCGUAGAUAUUAGGAGGAACACCAGUGGCGAAGGCGGCUUUCUGGACUGAAACUGACACUGAGGCACGAAAGCGUGGGGAGCAAACAAAAGUAGAUACCCUGGUAGUCCACGCCGUAAACGA